AUUGAACGCUGGCGGCAGGCCUAACACAUGCAAGUCGAACGGUAGCACAGAGAGCUUGCUCUCGGGUGACGAGUGGCGGACGGGUGAGUAAUGUCUGGAAACUGCCUGAUGGAGGGGGAUAACUACUGGAAACGGUAGCUAAUACCGCAUAACGUCGCAAGACCAAAGAGGGGGACCUUCGGGCCUCUUGCCAUCAGAUGUGCCCAGAUGGGAUUAGCUAGUAGGUGGGGUAACGGCUCACCUAGGCGACGAUCCCUAGCUGGUCUGAGAGGAUGACCAGCCACACUGGAACUGAGACACGGUCCAGACUCCUACGGGAGGCAGCAGUGGGGAAUAUUGCACAAUGGGCGCAAGCCUGAUGCAGCCAUGCCGCGUGUAUGAAGAAGGCCUUCGGGUUGUAAAGUACUUUCAGCGGGGAGGAAGGGAGUAAGGUUAAUAACCUUGCUCAUUGACGUUACCCGCAGAAGAAGCACCGGCUAACUCCGUG
rnacentral:rRNA from 1 species